AAAUUGAAGAGUUUGAUCAUGGCUCAGAUUGAACGCUGGCGGCAGGCCUAACACAUGCAAGUCGAGCGGUAACAGGAAGAAGCUUGCUUCUUUGCUGACGAGCGGCGGACGGGUGAGUAAUGCUUGGGAACUUGCCUUUGGGUGGGGGAUAACCAUGGGAAACUGUGGCUAAUACCGCAUAACGUCUACGGACCAAAGUGGGGGAUCUUCGGACCUCACGCCCAGAGAUAGGCCCAAGUGAGAUUAGCUAGUUGGUGGGGUAAAGGCUCACCAAGGCGACGAUCUCUAGCUGUUCUGAGAGGAUGAUCAGCCACACUGGGACUGAGACACGGCCCAGACUCCUACGGGAGGCAGCAGUGGGGAAUAUUGCACAAUGGGGGAAACCCUGAUGCAGCCAUGCCGCGUGUGUGAAGAAGGCCUUCGGGUUGUAAAGCACUUUCAGUGGUGAGGAAGGUUGGUAGUUUAAUACGCUACCAAAUUGACGUUAGCCACAGAAGAAGCACCGGCUAACUCCGUGCCAGCAGCCGCGGUAAUACGGAGGGUGCGAGCGUUAAUCGGAAUUACUGGGCGUAAAGCGUACGUAGGCGGCUUAUUAAGCAAGAUGUGAAAGCCCCGGGCUCAACCUGGGAAUUGCAUUUUGAACUGGUAGGCUCGAGUUUUGAAGAGGGUGGUAGAAUUUCCAGUGUAGCGGUGAAAUGCGUAGAUAUUGGAAGGAAUACCAGUGGCGAAGGCGGCCACCUGGUCAAAAACUGACGCUGAGGUACGAAAGCGUGGGGAGCAAACAGGAUUAGAUACCCUGGUAGUCCACGCCGUAAACG
rnacentral:rRNA from 2 species